GUAUCGCGUCCAUGUUCUAUAAGUAUCGCGUCCAUGUGUGAAAUGACUAAAGGACUGUAUGUACUACAACAAAGAUGUUGUAUUCCUCUCUGAUUAUAAUUAGUCCUGUGCAUUUGCAUUAAGAUAAACUCUCCUAAAUAUGAAAGUUAAUUAUUGACUAUUAGAUAUUCAAAUUACAUUACUUUAAUUUUAUGGAGGUUAUUCAUUAGUGUAACGUUAUUUCUUCAAUAUAUUUUCUUAAUCAUAGAUGGUGAUGACAGCAAAGAUAGGUUUCCUCAAUGCAUCUGUGAUGACAGUGAGGUCCAUAUGCCCCCUGUUCCUCCCCUUAAAAGAGAGCAAUCCAUCCAAACCUUAAUCCAUGUUAAUCCCAGGCUGUGCUUGUGAGCCUUCAAUUUCAAAGGUUUUGUGGUCCCUGUCAUGCCCAUAGUGAAAGAGAAAUUAUGUCUACCUGGUAUAUGGACGGUGUCGGGGAGAACCGAGGUGGUUAUACAAAACAGGGACCAGAACUUCUGCUACAGAGUGAGCACGGGAGGAUGAAGCUGCAGAGUAACCUUGUGGAGAGAGAAGAGCAGCGAUCUGGCACAUGAGCUGGACAUCAAACCAGCCCCAUAUACUACCCACCACUGCGACCUUAUGCUCUUGUUGGCU